CAAACUCGAAGUUGCUGAUGUCCCUCAUCAGUCACCCGAUAGCUGGUUCGAUAGUGGAGUUUUCACGAUGACCUUUCUUGAACACUGGAGUGGAAGAUUGGCUAUGCGAAUUACAAAGGAAAAUAUUACGAAGUAUCGAAUGCUGUACACCGCGCGGCUUUGUAGUUCGGAGCAUAAUACAAAGUUUGUAGACACUAUUUCCGCCAUGCUUGGGAGUAAAUAGUAAAUGGUUGCAAGAGCAUCUUCAACAGGGAUGUAAUUUGUUGUUUCUGCUAUGCAUAAUAGCAAAGGAUAUUUUUUGAAACAGUUACUGAUUUUGUUUUUCUGGACACAUUAGCGCCAAUAUUUGCAGCUACUUGUAAUUUAAGUUAGGUUUUGAGUUGUCACUAGAAUAUUGUCAGUAAUAACAUUAGCCGAACAUUAAUUGUUUUAAAUCUGUCUGUGACUUUUUGCUAACUACU